AUACGGAGGAUCCGAGCGUUAUCCGGAUUUAUUGGGUUUAAAGGGUGCGCAGGCGGCCAUUUAAGUCAGCGGUUAAAACGUGGGGCUCAACCCCAUUCUGCCGUUGAUACUGGGUGGCUUGAUUGCGGUCGAGGUUGGCGGAAUUCGUUGUGUAGCGGUGAAAUGCAUAGAUAUGACGAAGAACACCGAUUGCGUAGGCAGCUGACCAGACCGCAAAUGACGCUCAUGCACGAAAGUGCGGGGAUCGAACAGGAUUAGAUACCCUGGUAGUCCGCACAGUAAACGAUGAAUACUUGUUUUCGGCGAUAUAAUGUCGGAGGCAAAGCGAAAGCGAUAAGUAUUCCACCUGGGGAGUACGCCGGCAACGGUGAAACUCAAAUGAAUUGACGGGG
rnacentral:rRNA from 1 species